rnacentral:rRNA from 1 species
AUAAACAAAAACACAAUAUAUAAAAUACUUAUAUUGUAAAAUUAUGGCAAAUGCCAAAAAGAAACAAAAUAACAAUAAUAAAAAUGUUUAUUAUUGUAUCGCCUCCUAGGCAAAAAAGUAUAGUAUAAAGUGUUUGUGUGUGUUACACAUUACACAAAAAUUGACUUAUUUAUAUAAAAUUUGUAAAAACUGAAAUUGUGUGGACGUUAUACAAAAUUAAUUUGUAUAGAAAAUGUCUAAAAAUUUGAAAUACAUAAAAUUAUAGUUGUACUUGUAUAAAAUUGAAAAGUAAUUUUUUAUAUAAGUCAAUCAUUGUUCGUUUUUUAAGAACUUGAGACAUUCGCAACAAAAAUUUUAUGUUUUAGUUAUAAAAGAGAAGAAUAAUAAGCAAAAAUUAUUGAAGGAAUUGAUAUAUGCCAAUUUGAAAC